UUUAUUGAGGAAUUGAAUCCAUUGAUGUUGAGUGAUAUUAAUAACUAAUGUUUGCUAGUGCUGGUAAUUUUGUUUUUUAUGGUUGUAGUGAGUUUCUGUGUUUCUCUCCUUUUGGUUUUGCAGCAAUGGUGCUUUUUUAUAUUUUAUUUGUUUUCUUGGGUGUGGUUAACUUUCUUUGCUUGGGGUUUUCCUUCUAGUGUACCUUAAAGCUGGGAAGCAUAGACAUUGGCAUUUUGGGGUCCACAGCAUAGCUUCUCACUUGCUGUGGAGUCACUAGAGUCCUAGCACUCAGUAACCAUGUACACUCGGCACCAUCAUUUUGGAUCCUCUUCAAAUCUCCAUCUUUUAAGUGGAAAUAUUUUUUUCUGGUGCUGGAGAAAGACACAUUUUGCCAACUAAGGACAUGCUACACACUAUACUAUCUUCUAACUCAUAGAUGAUAUUUCUACUUGUGUUUAGGAGCUCUAGCAUUACUUCCAUGGGGAAUAAUAUUAAUCUUGCUACAUAAUUGGAGAGACACCUAAACAAACUAAGCACCUUCAAAAAGAAACCCAUGUCAGAGGGAGUGAAAAUGAAUUUCUCUUAGAGUUCAAUGAGUAAUCUGUAUAGGCCACUCAUAUCUAAUUUUGUCUCUCUUCAGCUGCAUCCAUUUUUGAGGAAAAUUAAAGUGAUAAAUGCUGCUGGAGAUGAAAUAAGCUUUGAUGAGAAAAAGAAUAUUAUGGAAACAUAUGAUAUACAGAAGUUUAUUUCAUAUAGUAAGCAAAAUUUAUUAAUACUUAAAGUGGGAGAAUUUGUCUUCAAGAGUCCACAAGACCAAGGCUUUUUCAUCAAUGAAGUUCUGAUUCAAUGGCCAAGCAACUUUAAUCAGACUCCUCAAUCUGUAUGUACACAGAGCUGUGGUCCAGAUUCUGGAAAGUUCUACAAGAAGAAAGACCCAUUUGCUACUUUUCUUGUGUAUUUUGUCCAGAGUGGCACAUUUCCAACCAGACAGGUAGAAAAAUAAUACUUUUCCUCAACUGCUUGGGAAUGUAGAAGGGGAAAGUUAAGUGACUAUGGUGUCAUAAUGCAAUGCUGUUCUCCAUGUCUCUUUCCCUCAUCCCUGAAUCCAUUAGUAAUCACUGCUGAUGCCACAAAAUGUGUGAAGAUUUGAGUGGCAAUUCUCAUGUUAUUGUGUCAGAUGAAAACUACUAAAAUAAAAAAACCUGCCUUUUGGUGCAUGACAUGGCUAUCUCCAUGGUAUAGGUUCCCCAUUAAAUGUGAGAUCUCCACUUGUCCAGAAUUGAUUUUUAUUUCUGCAAUAAACAAACCUAAUGAUUUUUGCCUGAAGAUAACUCCAGAAAAA